rnacentral:rRNA from 1 species
GCCUCAGUAACGGCGAGUGAAGCGGCAGAAGCUCAAAUUUGAAAUCUGGCAUCUAUGGUGUCCGAGUUGUACUUUGGAGAGGCAUCUUCCGGAGGGGCCCAGCCUAUGUGCCUUGGAACAGGACGUCAUAGAGGGUGAGAAUCCCGUAUUUGACUGGAUGUUCCCUCCUGUAUGUAGUGUCUUCUACGAGUCGAGUUGUUUGGGAAUGCAGCUCAAAAUGGGUGGUAAAUUUCAUCUAAAGCUAAAUACUGGCGAGAGACCGAUAGCGCACAAGUAGAGUGAUCGAAAGAUGAAAAGCACUUUGAAAAUAGAGUCAAACAGUACGUGAAAUUGUUGAAAGGGAAGCGCUUGAGACCAGAGUCAGCCUUUGGCAAACAAUUGUCCUUCUGGGCGGUGCACUUGUCAUUGGUUGGGCCAGCAUCGGUUGGGACGGCAGGAUAAAGGCCAGGGGAAUGUGACUCCACUAUGGAGUGUUAUAGCCUCGGGUGGCAUGCUGUCAGUUCCGACCGUGGACCGCGCCUCGGCUCGGAUGCUGGCUUAAUGGUCUUCAGCGACCCGUCUUGAAACACGGACCAAGGAGUCUAACGUCUAUGCGAGUGUUUGGGCUUAAAACCCUUACGCGUAAUGAAAGUAAACGGAGGUGGGAAUCCUGCAAGGGGUGCACCAUCGACCGAUCCUGAUGUCUUCGGAUGGAUUUGAGUAGGAGCAUAGCUGUUGGGACCCGAAAGAUGGUGAACUAUGCCUGAAUAGGGUGAAGCCAGAGGAAACUCUGGUGGAGGCUCGCAGCGGUUCUGACGUGCAAAUCGAUCGUCAAAUUUGGGUAUAGGGGCGAAAGACUAAUCGAACCAUCUAGUAGCUGGUUCCUGCCGAAGUUUCCCUCAGGA